UCUCCCCCAUCAUAUUGUUCGAGUUCCCUCACAACUCACACAAUGUUUUUAAUAGAAUGGUGUUGUAAGAGAAGCUAAUGUUGACAAACAAAAUGACAAAGGAGGUAGCCAAGUCCCUCUAAAUUUACAUGAAAAGUUAGUCCGAAAGGAAGCUUCCCAGAACAGACAAUAAUUGACAGCAAAUUCACAGAAAACUGAGAGCAAAUUCUAGGAAAAGGGUGAAAAUAGAAAACUCAAAUAUAUGUUAUGCUUAGAAUCGUAAUUUGGAU
rnacentral:lncRNA from 1 species